CGACGGGUUGCUAUUUUGUAGCAAUACAGAAUAGCGCUAGUGGCGAACGGGUGAGUAAUACAAAAGUAACUUUCCUUAGAGUGAAGAAUAAUCUCGAGAAAUCGUGACUAAUUCUUCAUAUUCUCAAUAGACAUAUGUCUAUUGAGGAAAGGCUUCGGCCGCUCUGAGAUAGGCUUUUGACCUAUCAGUUUGUUGGCGGGUUAACAGCCCACCAAGACUACGACGGGUAGGGGGUGUGAGAGCAUGACCCCCCACAUGGGAACUGCGACACGGUCCCAACUCCUACGGGAGGCAGCAGUCUAGAAAUUUGGGCAAUGGACGAAAGUCUGACCCAGCGACGCCGCGUGAGGGAUGAAGUCUCUCGGGAUGUAAACCUCUGUUGAGGGGAACGAUAAUGACGGUACCCCUCGAGGAAGCCUCGGCUAACUCCGUGCCAGCAGCCGCGGUAAUACGGAGGAGGCAAGCGUUGUCCGGAAUCACUGGGCGUAAAGGGUGUGUAGGUGUCCUGGUGGGUCAAGUGUGAAAUCCAACAGCUUAACUGUUGAAGUGCACAUGAAACUAUCGGGAUUGAGGACAUGAGGGGAGAGCGGAACUCGCGGUGUAGCGGUAGAAUGCGUGGAUAUCGCGAGGAAUGCCGAUGGCGAAGGCGGCUCUCUAGUAUGUUUCUCGUAUGAGAAGCUGAAUAAUUUUAAUCUUCGGGUUUUGAUUAAUCGGUCCUGACACUGAAACACG
rnacentral:rRNA from 1 species